rnacentral:rRNA from 1 species
GACGAACGCUGGCGGCGUGCCUAAUACAUGCAAGUUGAGCGCUGAAGGUUGGUACUUGUACCAACUGGAUGAGCAGCGAACGGGUGAGUAACGCGUGGGGAAUCUGCCUUUGAGCGGGGGACAACAUUUGGAAACGAAUGCUAAUACCGCAUAAAAACUUUAAACACAAGUUUUAAGUUUGAAAGAUGCAAUUGCAUCACUCAAAGAUGAUCCCGCGUUGUAUUAGCUAGUUGGUGAGGUAAAGGCUCACCAAGGCGAUGAUACAUAGCCGACCUGAGAGGGUGAUCGGCCACAUUGGGACUGAGACACGGCCCAAACUCCUACGGGACGCAGCAGUAGGGAAUCUUCGGCAAUGGACGAAAGUCUGACCGAGCAACGCCGCGUGAGUGAAGAAGGUUUUCGGAUCGUAAAACUCUGUUGGUAGAGAAGAACGUUGGUGAGAGUGGAAAGCUCAUCAAGUGACGGUAACUACCCAGAAAGGGACGGCUAACUACGUG